CCCAGUUGCUUUGCAAAAGCUGCUUAAUCUACAGAGAAGGUGGUCUUGUCUUCUAGACAGAAACACACAGUUGCCAGUCUUUCCUGCUAUACUGAGAAGCACGUAAAAGCCUUGCCAGGGAAAAAGAAGGGAGAUAUCUACAGGUUAUUCCACAGUCUGGGGGCAGCAGAUGAAAAAGUCCUCUGGGAAACCAUUGGCAGUCUAGUCCUGGCAAGUUGGAGCAAACAUUUCCCAGAGGACAUGAGUGUACAAAGCGGAUUGUACUGAAGAAGGCAUUCCUAAAAUCUGUUAAGGAGAAAAAGAUGGAAUAGAAGCCAAGUGUCUUGAUGAUGAGAACUCCAUCUGGAAGCAUGCAGAGAGAUACCAAAAUUGAUAGAUCUAUCCAUCCUUACUUUAGACCCUUUGUUUUUUUGUUUUUUGAUCUGUAAUGCAUCACUUGUGAAUGUUUUUGAGACAGAAAAAGGGGAAGUCGUUUUUUCAAAGAAGAGGCAUCCCAAGGACUCUCAUUCUUCAUUCAGUUUAAAC